GUCACUCUGAAGGCUGGGUGCUGGCCGGGGGCUGUGACACGCCUGUGUCCCCAGCGUGGGCGGCUGGGCCUCGGGCACCGCUGCCUUGAAGGCUGAGGUGGAUUUGCUGUGACUCCUGCUCGCUCCGCCCGGGCGGGUGGAUGGAUGUGGGGAGGGAGGAGAGGAUGCUGACGGCCACCCCGCUGGCACCCCGUGGGUGACGAGGAGCCGCUCGUCCUUAUCGGGCCCAGCAGCAGAGGGGCACGGAUGGACUGACUGCCGCUCUCUUCCCCGUCUGGACCAUGGACAAGCGUGGCGUGUGUGGCUCUGGGGCCACCAGAAUUGGGAUGCCCAGGCCCCGGGUGGCGCUGGCGCCUGCCCGACCAGCCAGCCUCAGCAGUACCAGAAAUUGCCUUUGCAAAAUGAGCCAGCUUCCUCCGAAGAGUCCUUUGGCAUCCCCGGUGUCAGAGGGCACGAAUUCCAGGGUAGAGUCUUUGGACAACUUGUCAAUGGACAGUUUUUGGCUGGAAGUAGAGAACAUUAAACAGAGCGCUGAAGCCGAGCAAGAGGAAUGCAGCCUUGCAGAUGUCAAAACACAAGAGGAGGGAGAAGCUGAAGCCGAGUGGCUCCAGGAUGCUGGUCUGUCCGACCUCCUUGGGGACCGUGCCUCAGAAAAUGACAACAUUGUGCUGCUCUCCACCCUGACCAAGACCCAGGCUGCUGCUGUGCAGCGGCGCUUGGACACCUACUCCCGCUCUCGGAGGAGGAAGAACAAGCACCCUGUGCGUGAUGUCCGAGACAUUUUUGGAGUGGUCAGCUCUGAGGAGACAGCAGCAGAGAAAGAGGAGUCCAGCCCAGAUCAGUUGUGGCACAAUCUGCGGACUUCAAAUGUACAGAACUGCAAGAAAGAAGUUUUCAAAGCAGAAACCCAGGAUUACUCCUGCACAGUUCGAAACCCUGGGAAAGAGGAGGUAUUCAACAUGGAUGUUGCCUACUCGGAGCAAGCGGCUGUCCUGCUCAAGGGAUCAUUCCUGUCUGAAUCUAGGAGGUUAAAGGAUGGAAACACCCUAACUAAAUUUAAGAUCCCCAAGGGUAGACUAGGAGUGACCAGGAUUGGAGAUCUAUCUGCUCAGGACAUGAAGAAGAUCCCCACGCUGGCCCUUAUUGAACUAACAGCUCUCUGUGAUGUUCUGGGCUUUGAGCUGAAGAGAAACAAGGCAGCAAAACUGAAAACAGCGGAGAAAAGGCUCUUUGGAGUUCCACUCAACACCCUGCUGGAGAAUGACCAAAAACUGCUCCCCAACACCAAAGUCCCUCUGUUACUCCAGUCAUUGCUGUCCUGCUUGGAAAAGAGAGGACUUGAAACAGAAGGCAUUUUGAGAGUUUCUGGGUCCCAGACCAGAAUCAAGAGCCUGGAACAGAAGCUAGAAAGGGACUUCUAUACUGGCCUUUUCCGCUGGGAUGAAGUCCACCAGAAUGAUGUAUCGGGGCUACUGAAAAGAUUCAUAAGGGAGCUGCCGGCCCCGCUGCUGACAGCAGAGUACCUCCCUGCUUUUGCUGCUGUGCAAAAUAUUCCAGACCUGAAGCAAAGAUUGCAAGCUCUGAAUCUCCUGAUCCUGAUUCUGCCAGAGUCCAACAGAAACACUCUAAAGGCUCUACUCGAAUUCCUCAGCAAAGUGGUUGCCAGGGAGAACAACAACAAAAUGAACCUCUGGAACGUUUCCACAGUCAUGGCCCCAAACCUCUUCAUGCACAAGGGGCUGCCAAACAAGAUCCCUGAAGGGAAGGAGAAGCAGCUGGCAGAGGGGGCGGCUGAUGUCGUGCGGAUGAUGAUCCAUUACCAGGAUUUGCUCUGGACAGUCUCCUCCUUUCUGGUAGCUCAAGUGAGAAAGUUGAAUGAGAGCAAUAGCAAAAGGUACCAGUUCUGUGACAAGCGAAUUAAAAACCUGCUGCGGAAGAUUCACGCUGAUAAAGACAAAACGGAGAAGAACCAGGCAGAGCCUUCCAAGAUUGUGAAAGUCCAUGCUUCGCUUCUCCUGAAGGAUUCGCUGGAGGUGCAUUUGAACAAUGCAACCAGAGUUGCUGAUGUCUUGAAGCAGUUUCAGAAGAACCUGUGCCAGAACGGUUGGAAUAUUGUUAACACUGUCAACCUCCUCAAGUGUAACAACUCAACGGAGUGCACAAACCUGCUCCUGUAUGAAGUGGGAGGCAAUAUUGGUGAACAUUGCCUGGACCCAGACACUUACCUCUUAGACUUGUACCACAUCAAUCCCCAUGCUGAGUGGAUAAUUAAGCAAAACCCAUCUUAUCCUCGGAUGUUCUAAGGAAAGCAUGAGCAAAAUGAAGUGUUUGGUGGAAGUUUUUGGAAGACAUGGAAAAGCUAUAGACAUGUUUCUGUUAUUAGUCACAGAUUUGGACAAUGCUUGUGUCUGAAGGAAGAAAAGCUUUAUUUACUACUUCCAUGUGAGAGGACAUGAGCCUACAUGCAGAUGGGGUGUUAAUAACAAGCAGCCAUUAUCAUUAUGUAGCAGAAUUUGCAGGGACUGUGAUCAUUCAUAAACAAAAUGCCCUCCCCAAAACAAACUCUGCAAACACAGCUACAGUGAUUGUGCAGCAAAGAUGGAACGUAAGAGGAGAAAUGUCUUCUUGAAGAUGGUAGAAGACAUCUGUUUCUGCUGGAUUUGUUCUUUCUUUUGAUCGUUUUGGAGGAGAGAGCCGAAUGCUGCAGCGGUACUAGUGACAUCCCUUGGGUAAGAUCCACUAUUGACUGUCGCACGUCACCAGAAGAAGUUGUGAUCCUGGGUUUUGCUACCACAAUGCUGAUAUUCUCUUUGAGGAGUGUGAAGAGAUGCUUCCAAAAAGGCCAGAUGGGAUAUGAAGCCAACAUCUUGUAUUUAUGGACUACAGUUAAAUACAUAUAUGCAACACAAGAAAACUUUCCUUGGAAAAAAGUAUGGGAUGGAGAGCAGCCUUUCGCAUGUACAGUUGGGUAGGAGAGAUGCCUGUCCCAUACAGCUCUGCUGGUGAUCCAAAAUGUACGGGUUGCCAUUGGUGAUGGUAAAAUGUACAUUUAUUUUACUGGACAACCUAUAUCUCAACAGAUAACCAAGGAAAUAUUCUGAAGUUAUUUGAGGUUAAUAAUCUGACCUGGCCAUGUGAACUAACCUUCCUUUUGGAAGACUCUGUGUUGAACGUGCCUGUUUAAAAAAACAACAAACCAAACCACAGCCAAGAUGCGCAGUGGCUGAAAUGAUAGGUCCGUGCCUGUAUCUGGUCACACAGUGGGUACGGAAUCGAGCCGUCACCACUCUGAUGGCACGUUUCCAUCCCACCCAGCACGGUGUGGUCACCGUGGUCUGCAGAGACAAGGGUGGAGAGAAGGCUCCACUGCAUCGCUGCAUCAUCGUCGUCCAACCUCAGCUCCAACGAGACCGCGCUUGUGGAAAAGGAGCACACAAGUAUUACUUUCCUUUCCAGCGAUGCUGAAAUACCUCAUGUGAGGGAACCUACUAUGCAGUUACAUGGGGUGGAACAUGCUCUGUUUCUGAAAAUCCUGACGUCUGUUUUUAUAUACUGUUGGAUAUUUAUUCAUGUGGCAGAAGCAGGGCUGGCCUGCAAGUAAAUACUCAAAGUAUUUCAUUUGCCAAGUCCUAACUGCACUAGUGACAAUCUCCAGUAUUAUUUCUUUUGUUUAAUUGAAUUUGUUUCCAUUGCAGACUGAACUUUCCCCUCCUUUGUAUUUUUCCCCUGGUAUGAUGUGUAGCCAUCCCUAUUCAUUAUCACAAAGUCCUAGUUUCUAUUAUAAGGGCACUUCAUUCUGUGGUUUGUCUGUCUGUGUGGUUAAAUUCUCCUGGUGGUUAAGAUCCUUGAGGAGCAGGUGAGCCAUAGCCCGUAUCCUUUCUAACCUGAUGUGAAUACUGUGUGUGUGGUGCUGAUGUCUUGCAAUGAUGCAUAUAUUAGAGAGUCUGUAUACUUUUUUUUGGUUGAGAUGACGCAGAUGCACUGACUGGUGGGAUCAUCUUCAUAGUUGUCUUUUUAAGGACUCAUAAUAGAAACUUGCAAAAAAACCCACCUCCUAGCCCAGGACCCCAAUGUCAAGACUUGUUGAGUUGCCUCAGUUUUAUAGGACCAAAACUGUCCCUAAAGGAGCCUGAUUCUUAUCCUUGAGAUUGAGUGCUCUGUGUCUCUUGAAAGAUCAAGCUGCUUUAAAAUCGGGCAUUAAAAUUUAAAGGUACCUAUUUGCUCUUCACUCCUGGAAACCUUCGUUGCAGUGAUGGAGCUUAGCAGAGAGCAAAUGCCAGAGGUGUGAUACUGGGAGAAAUACCUAAGUCACAAAGGUAUCGGUGGGCAAGACAGAAGAACCCUGUUCCUGCUCAGAGAUGCUUUGGAACCUUAAUUGCAUCCCUGCACAUCACAUAACGCUGCAUUUUUUCCCACCCCUCAUAUACUGGAUGUUUUAUUAAACAUAUUGGCUUCCAUACGUAUGAGGGGGAAAUGCUACAUCACUGCUGCCAUAAAAAAAUGAGUGGUUUUUUUGAUCACCAAAUAAUGUGAAUCAGUGCUGUGAAAAACAAGGUUUGUGUGAGAUUCUCACGAGACAAAUAGCGGUUCUCAAAUACGAAAGGAAACGUAAAAAAAAAUCAUCUCUUUCCAGAUGAUGGAUUUGCUUUUUUAUUUUUCUUUUCUAUCUUUGUACCAGAAAGUAAGUAUGAAUUUUUUAGUCACUGAUGUGCAACCUACUUCUGAAUGCUGGCUUUUAAUAACUAUUUUUACAAACUAUUGAUUCUGUAUUUAAAAUUCAUUUAUUCAAGGAAACAAUAAAAAUACAGUAAAAAUC